GCCAACGGCCAUACCACGUUGAACACACCAGUUCUCGUCCGAUCACUGAAGUUAAGCAACGUCGGGCCCGGUUAGUACUUGGAUGGGUGACCGCCUGGGAACCCCGGAUGCUGUUGGUA
rnacentral:rRNA from 1 species